AGCUUUGUGCAGUGGUAGCAUAGUCUGUGAAGUUCAAUGGAGAUAUGAUUAUUGCUAAUUGAAAACUUUCAUCAGUGUUUUGCCAUGACAGCUUGAAAUAUAGCUGUUAGCAAUUUUUAGUAGUUUCUGUGGACG